GACGAACGCUGGCGGCGUGCCUAAUACAUGCAAGUCGAGCGAAGUUUUUCUGGUGCUUGCCCUAGAAAAACUUAGCGGCGAACGGGUGAGUAACACGUAAAGAACCUGCCUCAUAGACUGGGACAACUAUUGGAAACGAUAGCUAAUACCGGAUAACAGCAUUAACUGCAUGGUUGAUGUUUAAAAGUUGGUUUUGCUAACACUAUGAGAUGGCUUUGCGGUGCAUUAGCUAGUUGGUGGGGUAAAGGCCUACCAAGGCUACGAUGCAUAGCCGACCUGAGAGGGUGAUCGGCCACACUGGGACUGAGACACGGCCCAGACUCCUACGGGAGGCAGCAGUAGGGAAUCUUCCGCAAUGGGCGAAAGCCUGACGGAGCAACGCCGCGUGAGUGAAGAAGGAUUUCGGUUCGUAAAGCUCUGUUGUUAGGGAAGAAUGAUUGUGUAGUAACUAUACACAGUAGAGACGGUACCUAACCAGAAAGCCACGGCUAACUACGUG
rnacentral:rRNA from 1 species